GUACUGCUGAAGAGUCCCAAACUAGGACAAAAUGGCUGUCCAGUAC
rnacentral:hammerhead_ribozyme from 1 species